AAAAGUUCACCCGUGUGCACUAAAGGAAAUUCAAUCUUUUUGUUCUCAGGGCCGUUGUAACGUCAAACAAACUGUUGACUUAACGACCACAGUUGAGCCCAAAAGUUCCCAACAUCGUCAGCAACUUCCAGGCGUCAACCAUCUCUCCUGAUGAAAUCGUCGACGUUUCCCACAACAGCCCUGAGUUCAAGAACAGUGACGGCUCGUUGGCUCCAUGCUUAUGCAGAAUCAUUUGCAACGGUGCGAUCCGCAAACUCAAAAUACUUUGCCAUAUGUUGACGACUACUUGCAUUAUACAGCCUCGUUCCUGAAAAAUGUCAUCGUGAAAUAUUUUCUAUUCCGGAAAAAUCCCGACAAGGAACAAUUAAAAGCUAGCUGCAGUCCUUUGAACUAAUUUUUGAAGGAAGUCUAUGCAUCUAUGGUUCAAGUCAAGCUGUUGUGCUAUUGAGCCAAGAAGAUCCCAGAUGCACAUUUCAGAUUAAACAAAUGCCAGCAGACCAUGGAGAACAACUAGGACCAGACCUCACCAGAGCAUAUAGAAAGGCUGACGAACCAUCGUCAAGUCCCAAGACAAGCUGGAGAAAGGGAAGCCAAAUUAAACUCCAGAAUCAAAGGGAACCAGAGCCCAAAUGGUUGGUCAACAUGUCCAGGCCACCCACUAUCUUCCUCAGAAUACAACAUCCUACAUGAAAGCUCUAAAUUAUAACCCAGGGGAUGCCAGUCAACUAGAAUUCUUUGCCAGCCUUAGAAGAAGCUUUUAUAAAACUAUCGGAUUUCCUAUAGAGACACCACCACCCCCAAAAGCAUCAGAAAGAAGACGAGAACAAAACCAACUCGAAGUAGAAGAUGGAGCAACCCUCAAAAAAUCUAGAGGUACCAAAUUACCAUCAUCCUUCCAGAAGAUGAGGGUUGAAACCAGGAUUAUUAGCAUGGCUCCCAUCAAAAAUCCAUACAAAAAGCGAAAGAGUUACGAGAAGACAAAUUUGCAUCGGCAAACACCAACCCGAUAGCAAAACGAAUCCUUUGGCUCAAGAGAAUGCUCAAUGACCUCACCAAGAAAGGGAAAAUCGCCAAA